UGGAUCGAUGAUGAUGGCUGGUGGCGUAUGAAUCAUGCAUAAUGAAUGAUACGUGUCUGGAACUCUGAGGUCCAA
ensembl:snoRNA small nucleolar RNA, C/D box 114-18